rnacentral:lncRNA from 1 species
UUAGUAAAUCUUCUACAACAUCAUGGGGAAAGUUUCCCAAUUGUUGAUGAUUAUCUUCCUUACUCUCAUCAUACAUUCCUAUUCAGAAACUAUUCAUAAGAUGGGAAGUGGCUUUAAUGGAAUGUAUGGCAUGUAUCGUGAAGUACCUGGUGGUCCAGAUCCAUUACAUAACGGAAGGAAAGGUAAGAUGGGAAAGGACACAUAUGGAACGUAUCGUGAAGUGCCUGGAGGUCCAGAUCCAUUACACAAUGGAAGGAAAGGUCAGAUGGGAGAGGGCACAUAUGGAACGUAUCAGGAGGUGUCGGGUGGUCCAAAUCCAUCACAUAACGGACAGAAAGCAGGUCAGAUGGGAAAGGACAUGUAUGGAGUGUAUCGUGAAGUGCCUGGUGGUCCAAAUCCAUUGCAUAACGGAUGGAAAGGUCAGACGGGAAAGGACUCCUACGGAAUGUAUCGUGAAGUACCUGGAGGUCCAGAUCCAUUACAUAAUGGAAGGAAAGGUUAUAUGGGAUCAAAAACAUAAGGAAUGUAUCAUGAAGUGGCUAGAGAUCGAGAUCCUUUGCGUACCUCUUAGCAUGUUUGUUUCUUACAUGAUCAAGUAAAUAAAAUAAUGGUUUGUGAAAUUCUCAAAAAAAAAAUAUUUUGGUGUGCUUGUGCAAUAUAUUUGUGUGC